AGAGUUUGAUCAUGGCUCAGGACGAACGCUGGCGGCGUGCCUAAUACAUGCAAGUCGAGCGGACUUGAUGGGGAGCUUGCUCCUCUGAUGGUUAGCGGCGGACGGGUGAGUAACACGUAGGCAACCUGCCUGUAAGACUGGGAUAACUACCGGAAACGGUAGCUAAUACCGGAUAACUUAUCGCCCUGCAUGGGGAGGUA
rnacentral:rRNA from 1 species